rnacentral:lncRNA from 1 species
UUUUUUUUACAAAAUAAAAUACAUAGAUUUAAACACAAUUACAUUCACACAGAUUAUUAUAUCAUGGAUCUUAAGAAACAGAUUAAGUGACUCCCUCUGGAGAAGUGGAAUGGAAAAUACGCUGAGACAAAUAGGAAAUUUAUUCUAUACUUUAUCCCAUUUUGUAUGGCUUUCAUCUUUACUAUUUAGUAUUAUCUAUUACAUUUUAAUUUUUCUUUAAAAAUUAGCAUUAUAUCAAAAUUGUGUAUAUUAUAAUAAACUAAAAUUUAUAAAGAAAGCCUUAUAUACCAUUAAGUAUUUUAAUAGCAUAAUAAAAAGAAUAACCUAACUGGUAAGAAUAGCAAAAAUAAUACACCCUCUGAAAAUAAGUAAAACAUAAAAUGCAUAAAUUGGUUAAGAAAUAGUGUAUCUAUAUAAAUAUGUCCUCACAAUUUGUUACAUCUUAUUGAUUCUUCAAUAAAGGCAUUACACCAUUCUAGGUGAUGUGAUAAAAAAGACAUUAUAGACUUUACAUUGUACCAUGGAGAGAAAUGGUUACUAAUAAUACAAUUAGGAGUUCCCGUCGUGGCACAGUGGUUAAUGAAUCCGACUAGGAACCAUGAGGUUUCGGGUUCGAUCCCUGCCCUUGCUCAGUGGGUUAAGGACCCGGCGCUGCCAUGAGCUGUGGUGUAGGCUGCAGAUGUGGCUUGGAUCUGGCGUUGCUGUGGCUCUGGCGUAGGCCGGCAGCUACAGCUCCGAUUGGACCCCUAGCCUGGGAACCUCCAUAUGCCACGGGAGCAGUCCAAGAAAUGGCAAAAAGACAAAAAAAAAAAAAAAUACAAUUGUAGAACUAUAUUAUUUAAUUGUACAGUUGCAUUAUUUAAUUAUAAUUAUCAUAAAUUCUUUGAUGGAGAGGAAAUCAGAAUCAGAUGUAAGAAUACUUCAGCAUUCCAAGAAUGAUGUCAAAUGACCCCCUUCAUGGUGGGUUAUGCACUUAUUUACUGUGAGAUAUAUUUCUUCUCCAGAGAUUCCUUGUUUGUGUAUCAAUUGUGGAUUUUUGGUUUGCAGUUAUACGGAAGUUUUGAUAUAAGAGUCUGUAUGUAUAUGAGAUCGUUUUAAGUUGUUGUUCUCUUAAUUGCAAGUUCAUCUCCAGUUUCCUGCAUUUGUACCCACCUCUUCUCAUGAUUUCUGAUUUUGGUGGUAUAAUUGUGCAUGGAUGAUUUCAUAUCUUUACUGUAUAUAUACCUUUACUGGUGAGCCUUGUCAUUUGUGGAAUUUUUGUUUCCUGUUGCUGUCUUGUCUUUUCUGCCUAGAGAAGUUCCUUUAGUAUUUGUUGUAAGGCUGGUUUAGUAUUGUUGAAUUCUGUCAACUUUUGCUUAUCUGUGAAGGUUUUGAUUUCUCCUUCAAAUCUGAAUGAGAGCCUUGCUGGGUAAAGUAAUCUUGGUUGGAGGCUUUUUCCUUUCAUCACAUUAAGUACAUCAUGCCACUCCCUUCUGGCCUGCAGAGUUUCUGCCGAAAAAAAUCUGCCGAUAACCUUAUUGGGGUUCCCCUAUAUGUUACUUGUUUCUUUUCCCUAGCUGCUUUCAAGAUUAUCUCUUCAUCUUUAAUUUUGGUUAGUUUGAUUAAUAUAUGUCUCAGUAUAUUCCUCCUUGGGUUUAUUUUAUAUGGUACUCGUUGUGCUUCUUGGAUUGGAGUAAGUGGUUCCUUUCCCAUGUUAGGGAAGUUUUCGGCUAUUAUCUCUUGGAAUAUUUUUUGUCUCCUUCUCUCUCUCUUCUCCUUCUGGCACCCCUAUAAUACGGAUGUUGGUGCGUUUCACGUUGUCCCAGAGUUCUCUGAGACUCUCUUCAUUUGUUUUCAAUCUUUUUUCUCUUUUCUGUUCUGCUUCCGUAAUUUCCACUAAUCUGUCCUCCACCUCGCUUAUUCGUUCUUCUGCCUCCUGUAUUCUGCUGUUAGCUGCUUCUAGUGAGUUUUUUAUUUCAGUUAUUGUAUUUUGCAUCUCUUCUUAAGUUUGAUAUCUUGUAUCUCUUUGGUCAGUGUUUCCUGUAAGUUAUCCAUCUUUGCCUCCAGUUUAUUUCCAAUGUCUUGCAUCAUCUUCAGCAUCAACAAUCUAAAGUCUUUUUCCUGGAGGCUGAGAAUCUCCUCAUCACUUAGCUGUUUUUCUGGGGUUUUUACUUUCUCCCUCAUCUGAGUUAUAGUUCUCUGUCUUUUCAUUUUUAUAGGUUAUUGGUGUGGUGACCUUUUUACAGAUAAUAGAGCUGUAGCUUCUCUUACUUCUGGUGUCUGCGCCCCUUGUGGCUGAAGUCGGUAUGGGGGGCUUGGUGUAGGCUUCCUGAUGGGAGGGGCUGAUGCCUGCCCACUGGUAGGUGGAGCUGAUUCCUAUCCCUCUGGUGGGUGGGGCUUAGUCUCUGGAUGGGAUUAGAGGCAGCUGUGUGCCUGAGGGGUCUUUAGGUAGCCUGUUUACUGAGGGGUGGGGCUGUGAUGGUUGUUUGCCCUGGGGCUUCUCAGCACUGAUGGGUGGGGCCAGAUUUUCCCCAAAUGGCUCCCUCCAGAGAAAGGCAGCUGCUGAAUAUUCCCAAGACCUUUGCCUUCAAUGUCCCUCCUUCACAACAAGCCACAUUCACCCCUGUUUUCCCAGGAUGUCCUCCAAGAACUGCAGUCAGGUUUGACCUAGGUUCCCGUGGAGACCUCGCUCUGCCCUGGGACCCAGUGCACGUGAAAGUCAGUACGUGCCUUUCAAGAAUGGGGUCUCCAUUUUCCCCAGUCCUGUGGAGCUCCUGCGCACAAGCCCCGCUGGCCUUCAAUGCCAGAUGCUCCAGGGGCUCUUUCUCCCAGUGCCAGAUCCCCACACGUGAGAGUUUGAUGUGGGGCUCAGAACUCUCACUCUGGUAGGUGAAUCCCUCUCUGUGAGCCAGUUAGUUUUCAGUCUGUGGAGCUUCCCACCCAGGAGGUAUGGGGAUGUUUAUACUGCAAAAUCGCCCCUCCUACCUCUUGAUGUGGCCUCCUCUUUUUCUUCGGGAGUUGGGUAUCUUUUUUAAGGUCUCUGGUCCAUUUGAGUGGGGAUUGCUCAGCUUUUAGUUGUGAAUUUUGUUGUUUUUAGGAGAGAAGUUGAGCUCCAGUCCUUCUAUUCCGUCAUCUUAAUCCUCUCUUUUUUUUUUUUUUUUAAUAAUUUUUUUAUUUUCCCACUGUACAGCAAGGGGGUCAGGUUAUCCUUACAUGUCAUUUUCUUUUUUUAAUUAAAAAUUUUUUAUUUUUAUUGAAGUAUAGCUGAUUCACUGUGUUGUGCCAAUGUCUGCUGUACAACAGUGACCCAGUCAUACAUGUAUAUACAUCCAAUGUAUAUACAUCCAUUUUCUCUCUACCACUCAUUUUCUUUUUUUGUAUGUGUCUUUUUGCCUUUUCUAGGGCCACUCCCAAGGUAUAUGGAGGUUCCCAGG